UUAACUCAUGUUUUUAUGGAGUUGGAAUGUUUGCCUACGUUUGCAGCUGGGGGCGCUGUUCAAAGUGCUUACAAAUUUGAGCUA
rnacentral:pre_miRNA from 1 species